rnacentral:tRNA from 1 species
GAUCCCGUGGCUCAACUGGACAGAGCAGCCCCCUCCUAAGGGGCAGGUUGCAGGUUCGAAUCCUGCCGGGGUCGCCA